AGACUCGUCCCUAACCCCAGCCCGGAGACUUUCACUUUGUCCCAUGCCUCCCGAGCACCCCUCCCCGCCCCGGUGGGGGCAGCUCCUGGCUCCGAGCCCCCACCUCGGGGCUCCCAGCCUGGUCCCGGGCGGCCGACCCCAGCAGCCACAGGCAUCCUACGCUGUGUGCACACAGCAUAUCACCGGGAGAGACGGCACGGAAAGAUGGCCCUGCCCUCAAGGAGCUGCAGUCUGCCCAGGAAGGCAGACAGAUAAACUGCUAUAGUUUUCCACUAUUGAGCUGAAUUUCGUAUCACCAUCAAAAGUUACCUACCUACAAGUCCCUAGUAGAGAAAAUUUAACUUCUGGCUUUAAAAAAGGGACAGAAAAGCAGGCAGAUCUGCUAGUAAGCAAACUACAGCUCCCCCGAGGAGACACACAGGCAGUGGGUAAGAGGAACAGACCCAUGGCUCCACUGAAGACACAGAGCAGCAGACGAAAAAGACAUGUCCUAAAUGUUAAAUGGUAAGGAGGGGUAGGGUGAAAAAAGGGAACAUGGAUGCCAGGCAGAAGAAAUAAAAGCCUUUCCAAACAUUUGUAUUACAUGAUGCUGGCUCUCACUGAUAAACCACUGGAUGAGAACUGUACUUCAUCCAUAUCAUCCUGUUGGUUGCAGAUCCCGUCACCCCAUAUCUAAAACAUAUUUCCUUCUGGAGCUUUACUGUUGAUACUGCUUUGAGAUGUAUCAUUUGGUUUUGGUUUUACAUAUUUAACAUUUUAAUGAAAGGGUGACUUGAGUAAGGCACUACUUUUUCAAUAAAUAGCAACAGAACCAAUUUGCCUGGGAGGAGACCUGCCAGCAAGCCAUGAGGGGCAUUUCCAAAAUUUCCAGUAUAGGCUGCUCCCAAUUUCUGCCUCCACUUUAAAAACACUUUGCACUUACUAGUGUUAUUCCAGGAGAGCCAGUUAAUAGUUUAAUGAAACUAGUUAGAGUUUAAAGGCAGCAAAUGGGAUAAUUUAAAAUAAUCAUCCCAUUUUUAUUGAUGGUUCUCAAAUCUCUCUCCAGAUCUGACAUUUUGCCCUAGCUCAGACUUGUACCUACACUUUCUAUUCAGACUAACGUCCUCCAUAGUUUUAGGACAUCACCAUCCCAACUUGGGCACUGACAGCCCACAGGCCACAUCCUCCUCAAGUAGCAACUCAUGAACCCAGAGAACUGACUGAAAUAGUUCAGUGUUUCUUGAGCUCCCCAAGGCCUUCAGGCUUCUGUGCAGAGUGGAAGUGGUAGUGGUAGUGGCACAAGUAUGCUAAUUGCCACAGUACACUCUCCAAGGUAAGUGUAACCGGGCCCAUUCUACAGAUAAACUAAAGGUUAGGUAAAUUAAAUCUCCUGGCCCAUCCACAUCUAAUCAUCAUCAGGGCCAGGAUUCAAGUCCAGUUCUAACAACAAAAGCCAUGCCAAUGGUAACAGAGUGCGUGUGAGCUGCUAAGUACUUCUGUGUAUUAACUCAUGCCAUUAAAGUCCGUAGAUGCCAUAGGGUGACCCAGAGCCACACUGGGUAGGCCCCUCCAGGCAUUCCUUUGUCUUCCAAAUACCAACUGAGGUGCAGGCUUAUUACCCUUACGUUACUACUGGCACAAGUAAAACUUCUUCCUGCAUAUACCUUAAGACGGGGGUCUCCAGUCCCCAGGGUACAAACCACUACCAGCCUGUUAGGAACUGGGCCACAAAGCAGGAAGUGAGCGGCAGGCAAGUGAGCAAAGCUUCAUCUGUAUUUACAGAUGCUCCCCCUGGCUUGCAUUACCGCCUGAGCUCUACCUCCUGUCACAUCAGCAGCGGCAUUAGAUUUUCAUAGGACCACGAAUCCUAUUGUGAACUGCGCAUGUGAGGGAUCUGGGUUGCGUGCUUCUUUUGAGAAUCUAAUGUCUGAUGAUCUGUCACUGUUUUCCAUCACCCUCAGGUGGGACUGUCCAGUUGCAGGAAAACAAGCUCAGGGCUCCUACUGAUUCUACAUUAUAGGGAGUUGUAUAAUUAAUUCAUUACAUAUUACAAUGUAAUAAUAAUAGAAAUAAAGUGCACAAUAAAUGUAAUGCGCUUGAAUCAUCCUGAAACCAUCCUUCCCCUCAGCCCAUGGAAAAGCUGUCUUCCACAAAGCUGGUCCCUGGUUCCAAAAAGGUUGGGGACCUCUGCUGUAUACCACUGUAGUCUUAUAAACACUGUUUACUUAAUUAACCUAAACAUUUAAAAUGUUUCCUUUCUUCAAUAAUAAAUUAACCUUAGCUUACUGUAACUUUUUUCACUUUAUAAAGUUUAAAAUUAACCUCAUGGGCCUAGCACCUCAAAUCUCCCCCGCUUCUCUCUCCCCAAGCCAGCUUGCCCUCUCUUAGCUCCCUGUGGCCCUAUUUCUGUCAGCUGCAGCAGAGUUCUAGAAGAAGUGCCUGGCGUGCUCUCUGUCCAUUCCCACUCCUUCCAUCAGUCACCAUGCCCUCUAGAUUCAUUCUUCACUUCAUGGAGUUUCCUGUUCGGCAUGCUCCUCGGUUUUUGCAAGGGCUCUGCCAACUACAGGGCCACGUCAUGCCAGUGACUGCACUGGUCUCCUCCCUGGCCUCAGUGUGUCUCCACACCCCUCCCCCCAACAUUCCAGUUCUGGGCAUUCUGUAUAUUAAUGUGUUCUCUUAUUUGAAGACCUGUGACAAUUCCUAGUACGUCCAAACUAUCGGUCUGCUAGUUAGUUAACAGCCUCCACAAUUGGGUUCCCAAUCACCUACACCACCAUGUAGUGAAGUUAGUUACUGCAGUACCCCAUCCUGAUUCCUUUCCCUGGGUUUUUACCAAUGCCUUUCUCUCUUACCCAAUCUAGAAUGUCCCCUCUUCACUUCUGCUUAUUCAAACACAUCAACUCAACUAACAUUCAUUGAGCCCUCAUUCUAGUGAACACACUGUGCAAAGAGCACAGCACGAGGCACUGAGUGAACAAGGAGCACAGCACGAGGCACUGAGUGAACAAGGAGCACAGCACGAGGCACUGUGCGAAGCAUGUUCCAGUUUCAACUCUAUCCCUACACAGAGUCCGCUCUGCUCUCUCUCCCUUCUCUGAAAAACAACAAUUCCUGUUUAUGACUAGAAUUAAUAAGCACUUCUGCCAUUAAAAGGUCUAUAGAUCUUCCACCAAAUUGUGGAUUCCUUUCCAGCAAGAGAAUGUGACAGAAUGAUACCAGGUGACUUCUAAGACUACAUCAUACAAAGCAACACAGCUUCUGCUGGGCUCUCCCUCUCUGGACACGUGUCUUUGAAGCCCUGAGCUGCCAGAUUAAACAGUCCGGCUUGCCUAAAGUCACCACGCUGGAGAGACCAUCAGGGAUGGAGAGGUGCUACAGAAACCCUAGCUAUUCUAGUCCCCAGCCAUUUGAGUCUUCCUAGCCCAGACUCAUAAGUGAAGAAACCUUCAAGAUGAUUCCAAUACCUCCUAUCACUUGACUGCAACCUCGUGAAAGCCUAAGCCAGACCUGCACGGUGGAGCCAUUCCUAAAUUCUGGUCCCACAGAAACUGUGAAAGAUAAUAAAUGAUCAUCAUUG
rnacentral:lncRNA from 1 species